rnacentral:tRNA from 1 species
GUCCGGGUGGCGGAAUUGGUAGACGCACUACUUUGAGGGGGUAGCGGGCUUAAGCUCGUGUGAGUUCAAAUCUCAUCUCGGACA